rnacentral:rRNA from 1 species
UACGUAGGGAGCAAGCGUUGUCCGGAAUCACUGGGCGUAAAGCGCACGUAGGCGGAUCUUUAAGUCAGGGGUGAAAUCCUGGAGCUCAACUCCAGAACUGCCUUUGAUACUGAGGAUCUUGAGUCCGGGAGAGGUGAGUGGAACUCCGAGUGUAGAGGUGAAAUUCGUAGAUAUUCGGAAGAACACCAGUGGCGAAGGCGGCUCACUGGCCCGGUACUGACGCUGAGGUGCGAAAGCGUGGGGAGCAAACAGG